CUCAAACUCCUGACUUCAGGUGAUCCACCUGCCUCGGCCUCCCAAAGUGCUGGGAUUACAGGUGUGAGCCACUGCACCCAGCCUGUCACCUUUUUUUUUUUUUUUUUGAGACUGAGUCUCCCUUUGUCACCCAGGCUGCCAUGCAGUGGUGCCAUCAUAGCUCACUGCAAUCUGUCUCCUGGGCUCAAACAAUGAUCCCGCCUCAGCCUCCUGAAUAGCAGAGACGACAGGUGUGCACCACCAUGCCUGGCUCAUUUUUAAAUUUUUUGUAGAGAUGUGGUCUCACUAUGUUGCCCAGGCUGGUCUCGAACUCCUGGGCUCAAGUGAUCCUCCCACCUUGGCUUCCCAAAAUGCUGGGAUUACAGGUGUGAGCCACUGCACCCGCCCUUGAAUGGAUUUUAAAAACCCACCUAGGCUGGGCGUGGUGGUGCAUGUUUGUAGUUCCAGUACUUUGAGAGGCUGAGGCCGGAGGAUCAUAUGAGGCCAGGAGUUUAAGGUUGCAGUGAACCAUGAUCAUACCACUGCACUCCAGCCUAGGCGACGGAGUGAGACCCUGUCUCUAAACUAAUAAUAAUUUUUGAAAGUGUUAAAAUCCACCUAGAAUUUAUUUUUGGUGUGAUGUGUGAUUCAAAUUAUUUUUUUCUCAAGUUAGCCCGUUAUUCAAACACUAAAAUAUUGAAAAAUGCAUCCUAAGCCGGGUGCAGUGGCUCACACCAGCACUUUGGGAGGCCAACGCAGGCGGAUCACCCGAGGUUGGGAGUUCAAGACCAGCCUGACCAACAUGGAGAAUAAUAAUAAGCCGAGAUCGCACCAUUGUACUCCAGCCUGGGCAGCGAGAGUGAAACUCCAUCUCAAAAAGAAAGAGAGAAAGAGAGAGAGAGAGAUAAAGGAAGGGAGGAAAGAAAAAGAAAGAAAGGAAAGAAAGAAAGAAAGAAAGAAAGAAAGAAAGAAAGAAAGAAAGAAAGAUGUAUCCUUUCC
rnacentral:lncRNA from 10 species